ACCUGGGUAGCUCAGUCAGUUGAGCAUCUGACUUCAGCUCAGGUCAUGGGUUCAAGCCCCAUGCCGGGCU
rnacentral:tRNA from 1 species